rnacentral:rRNA from 1 species
GGUAUAAACUGCUUUUGUACGGAACGAAAAACUUCGGUUACUACCCGGAGUCCAUGACGGUACCGUAAGAAUAAGCACCGGCUAACUACGUGCCAGCAGCCGCGGUAAUACGUAGGGUGCAAGCGUUAAUCGGAAUUACCGGGCGUAAAGCGUGCGCAGGCGGUUAUAUAAGACAGAUGUGAAAUCCCCGGGCUCAACCUGGGAACUGCAUUUGUGACUGUAUAGCUGGAGUGCGGCAGAGGGGGAUGGAAUUCCGCGUGUAGCAGUGAAAUGCGUAGAUAUGCGGAGGAACACCGAUGGCGAAGGCAAUCCCCUGGGCCUGCACUGACGCUCAUGCACGAAAGCGUGGGGAGCAAACAGGAUUAGAUACCCUGGUAGUCCACGCCCUAAACGAUGUCAACUGGUUGUAGGGUCUUCACUGACUCAGUAACGAAGCUAACGCGUGAAGUUGACCGCCUGGGGAGUACGGACGAAAGGUUGAAACUCAAAGGAAUUGACGGGGACCCGUACAAGCG